rnacentral:lncRNA from 1 species
UUUUUGGAUUUGUACAGUUGCAAAAUGUACCCAGACUUGGAGAGCACCACCACCGAGACGCUUGUCCUCGGCGUUGCUCCGGCCAUGAGCUCUCAGUACGAGGCUUCCGGCGAGACUUUCGUCGCCGAGAACGAUGCCUGCAAGUGCGGAUCUGACUGCAAGUGCAACCCUUGCACCUGCAAAUGAACAACUCCUCUCAUGAACCCUAAACCCAGUGUCUUGUCUGUAAUAACCCUAAUGUUAUGUUAGGUUUCGUUAUGUGUAAUAAUGGCUCAUUUCGCCGGUAGUUUUACCGGAGAACGUUGGUCUUU